UACGGGGGGAGCAAGGCGUUGUUCGGAUUUACUGGGCGUAAAGGGCGCGUAGGCGGCCAGCACAAGUCAGUUGUGAAAUCUCCGAGCUUAACUCGGAACGGUCAACUGAUACUGUGCGGCUAGAGUGCAGAAGGGGCAACUGGAAUUCUUGGUGUAGCGGUGAAAUGCGUAGAUAUCAAGAGGAACACCUGCGGCGAAGGCGGGUUGCUGGGCUGACACUGACGCUGAGGCGCGAAAGCUAGGGGAGCGAACGGG
rnacentral:rRNA from 1 species